UCCUUCGGGUGCGUUAAUGGGCGUCGAGCGGCGGACGGGUGAGUAAUGCCUAGGAAAUUGCCUUGAUGUGGGGGAUAACCAUUGGAAACGAUGGCUAAUACCGCAUGAUGCCUACGGGCCAAAGAGGGGGACCUUCGGGCCUCUCGCGUCAAGAUAUGCCUAGGUGGGAUUAGCUAGUUGGUGAGGUAAUGGCUCACCAAGGCGACGAUCCCUAGCUGGUCUGAGAGGAUGAUCAGCCACACUGGAACUGAGACACGGUCCAGACUCCUACGGGAGGCAGCAGUGGGGAAUAUUGCACAAUGGGCGAAAGCCUGAUGCAGCCAUGCCGCGUGUAUGAAGAAGGCCUUCGGGUUGUAAAGUACUUUCAGUUGUGAGGAAGGGUGUGUAGUUAAUAGCUGCGCAUCUUGACG
rnacentral:rRNA from 1 species